UGACUUGGCAGGUCUCGAACCUGCAACUUCCUGAUCCGAAGUCAGACGCCUUAUCCAUUAAGUCACAAGAUU
rnacentral:tRNA from 1 species